UAUGAUAUUUCGUAUACUUAAAUUUACUUUUCAUUUUAAGGCAAAAUUUGCUAUAUGACACUCAAAGUUGGUGGCAUUUGCUAUGAGACACCCAAAGAACGUGUAUUAGCUGCUGUACACUGCAAAAAUGUGGUAAUUAGUUGCUAGACACCCACCUCAUUAUAUAUUGUUUCCGGUAGAAAUAGAGAGAGAAACAUUGGUUAAAGACAAGUUUGCCCAUGGGCACACUUGUCAAUCUCACAUAUCAUCUCUUUCUAUUUUCCUCUUCUUCCUCAUGCCGCUCUCUUGCCGUUACUCAUGCCCCUCGGUGAAGACGACGACCGCCGUCAGCGCCGAUGAGCCACGAUCGCCCUCUACUUUCUGCAUUCCUCAAUCUUCGCUUGAUGCCAUCUCCGUUCCAUCUAAUUUUGUCCCAUCCCAUGCAGCGGUUGAACGGGAACGCGGAUCAUGCCCUCGCUGCCCUGGAGCGCGCUCUGAGCAUCGCCGCCGCGACAGCAUCGCCGUUCCCGUCGAUCGGGUGAAGCUAAGGCCGAGCCACCGUACCAUCUUCAUCACGACGACCUCCUCUUCGGAAGCCCCAAAGAAACCUAGCCAAUGGUGCAGCGAGCUUGGAGAUCGGCAUCAUCUUCUCCAACUCCGGCCGGCGAGCUCCAUAUUCAAUUCCACCCGCUCCACUCUUCGAGUAGAUCGAGCCGUUGUCGUCAACACGGAGUUUUUCCUCGCCGUCGAGCCAUUCCAACCGAAGCCGCUGCUGUCCAAGCCUCGACGAUCCCUUCCAAUAACUUUGGUGAGCCUCCUGGACAAGCGCGGCAACGGGGCGGCAGAGGGGGUAGAUGCUAGGCGGGACGGCGGUCGGUAGAGCGGCAGCAGUGUCCCAUCGGUGACGUCCUUCAUCGCCGAUUCCGAGGGCCGCCGCGAGAGACUGCGAGGGAGCGCGACGAGGAGGCCUGGGAGCACGGGCCGGAGCGAGCACAGCAGGGCGGAGCAGCGCUCGCGGUAGGUGGCCCGAGAGCGACGCCGCUGAAGAAGAGAAGAGAAGAAAAGAGAGGAGAAGAAAGAAAAGAGAAGAGAAGCAGGAAGAAGAAUAGUGUCCAGGGGCAUUUCGGUACUUUCAACGCUCUUUCUCUCUCCGUUUCCACCGGAAAUAAUAUAAUAACGAGGCGGGUGUCCAGCAGCUAAUUACCACAUUUUUGCAUUGUUUAGGAGCUAAUACAUGUUUUUUGGGUGUCUCACAGUAAAUGCCACAAACUUUGAGUGUCAUGUAGCAAAUUUUGCCUUAUUUUAAA